AAACUUAGUUUCCAAACAUCGAGAUUGCUCUAUCAGAUUUGAGUUGAUUCUAUUCUAGUUCUAUUCUACACAAUACGUUCAAUUGCAUUCCGUUCCUCCCUUUCUCGCGCACGCUAUCAAAUCGCGCCGAAUUUUUAAUUGUUAGCUUAGUUUUUAUUAAAGCUACAUCAUUUGUGUGCACAAAACUGAAUUGUUCGAGCGGCAGGUAAUGGCGGCUACCCACGUUCGCGUCUCGUUUCGUUUGUUUACUGCGAAUGUAAACGUUAAAGUCUGGAUGGUUUCUACGGAAACGCAACGAAGGCGGUCGUUUAAUUAAAUAAACGUUUGUUGAGACGUCUCCGGAGAUUCAUUUUUCAGUGGCGCGACGUGCACCAAGAAUUUGUGCCAAAGUAGCAUUCCUUUUCAUCAUAAUCACCGUCGAUGACUACCGGAAAGGCCAAAGGCCUCCACAAUUUCUGACCGGACAGCCGUGAAAAGCAGCUUUUUCUGCGGUGUCGCGUGAUUCCGCGGAUCGAAUGCUCGAUGCAUUUUAUUUACAUACAUGCGUACAGGCAAGUCGGAGAGGACGCGUUAGAAGAGACGGGGGAAGGAGAGGCGGAAUCGCAGGUGUCUUCGCGAUUUCUAUAUAUAGCGAUUACAGCGACGCGCGAUCGUCGAUAGAUAGAGACGGCAAUAAAUUCGAUAAAUCGAUCUGUUCAACGGCGACGACGAGGUCGAGCCUCCCGGCGGCGAGUGUUUGCCGCGCGUGCGUUUGCAAGCGUAUACGGCGUCGCUGAAUUCCUGAGGAUGAUCUAAAUCAAUUGAAUUUCCAGGCGGGAGGAAAUGAAGAAAACCCAGGAUAUCCUGCGUGUGACCUAAAUGAAUUAUUGUACCGUUUUAAGUAAUGACGAUGCUAGUUGUUGCAGAGAAAAGAGAGGAAGGGAGGAAGGUUAUAAUAAUAUAUUAAGGCAGGCAAGGCGUCGAAUGUAUGGUACUAAAUUACGAUUACGCUACAGCAGGAAUGUACGCGAUUCCUGUAAAUGGAAAUCGGUACAAGGCGCAUGGUAAAUUAGAUGAUCGCACUACCAUACGCAGAGCGAAUUGAUUGUCAUGUUCGCAGGUGCUCGCUCAAAGAGGGUCCUCGGGGACCGUGUUACCGGUGCGUGUAAUUAAUUGCGGUUACAAUCGAGCAAUUUAUUCCGAUCGUUCCAGACGUACGAGCUCGUACGUUAAUGGCAAGCCACGUCGAUCUUGGAACGUCAGUUUAGCGUCUCAAUAACAUACUGUUUACCGAAAUCCGCCGCAGAAAAGUUCUCCUUCAUGUAUAUCAUGGCCAAGCGAUGGAAAAAAAUAAAUAAGAAUUAACAAACUU